AAGUAGUUCUGUCUUUUAAAAAAUACUCUUCAUUAUUUAUAGAAGGUUUAUUGUUUUUAUUGCAGAUUGUGGCAUCUUCAACUAGUCUAUUCAUCAACAUUGCACGACAAUUUCAAAAAAAGUAUUCGAAUUGGAAACAGUCAGCCGCAGUCCAGUGACACCGACGGCUCUGAAUGGAUUCCCGAUCCAGUAAGUCUGUUCUUCCUUCUUCCAUGUUAAAACGUAAAAUGAUGAACUGUUUUGAUAACUAAACACGAAGCCAAUAAAAUCGUUGUCGUGUGUAGAAUCCA